CCUACGGGUGGCAGCAGUGAGGAAUAUUGGUCAAUGGGAGAGAUCCUGAACCAGCCAAGCCGCGUGAGGGAAGACGGCCCUAUGGGUUGUAAACCUCUUUUGCCGGAGAACAAAACCCGGGACGAGUCCCGGACUGCGUGUAUCCGAAGAAACAGCAUCGGCUAACUCCGCGCCAGCAGCCGCGGUAAUACGGAGGAUGCGAGCGUUAUCCGGAUUUAUUGGGUUAAAAGGGUGCGUAGGCGGUCUGUUAAGUCAGCGGUAAAAUUGCGGGGCUAAACCCCGUCGAGCCGUUGAGACUGGCAGACUGGAGUUAGCGAGAGGUACGCGGAAUGCGCGGUGUAGCGGUGAAAUGCAUAGAUAUCGCGCAGAACUCCGAUUGCGAAGGCAGCGUACCGGAGCCAGACUGACGCUGAGGCACGAAAGCGUGGGGAUCGAACAGGAUUAGAUACCCCUGUAGUC
rnacentral:rRNA from 1 species